ACACCAUGUAUUGGGCAUUUUCUAAUUAACUCAUUGAAUCACUCCCAUGCUUCAUAUAAUGUUUCAUCCUCAAAUUGUCGAAAAGACGUAAUAUCAUUCUUCAAUUU
rnacentral:snoRNA from 1 species